rnacentral:rRNA from 2 species
UACGGAGGGUGCAAGCGUUGUCCGGAAUCAUUGGGCGUAAAGAGUUCGUAGGUGGCAUAUUAAGUCUGGUGUUAAAGGCAGAAGCUCAACUUCUGUAGGGCACUGGAUACUGGUAAGCUUGAAUGUGGUAGAGGUAAAGGGAAUUCCUGGUGUAGCGGUGAAAUGCGUAGAUAUCAGGAGGAACAUCGGUGGCGAAAGCGCUUUACUGGGCCAUUAUUGACACUGAGGAACGAAAGCCGGGGUAGCAAAUGGG